rnacentral:rRNA from 1 species
AUGUAAAGUUCUUUUUAUCAAGGAAGAAAAGCAGAUGGCGAACCAUUUUGUUUGCCGGUACUUGAUGAAUAAGCCCCGGCUAAUUAUGUGCCAGCAGCCGCGGUAAGACAUAAGGCGCAAGUGUUAUCCGGAAUUAUUGGGCGUAAAGGGUGCGUAGGCGGUCUAGUAAGUCAGUGGUGUAAUGGCAACGCUUAACGUUGUCCGGCUAUUGAAACUGCUAAACUUGAGUUAGAUAGAGGCGAGUGGAAUUCCAUGUGUAGCGGUAAAAUGCGUAAAUAUAUGGAGGAACACCAGAGGCGUAGGCGGCUCGCUGGGUCUUAACUGACGCUGAGGCACGAAAGCGUGGGGAGCAAACAGGAUUAGAUACCCUGGUAGUCCACGCCGUAAACGAUGAGUACUAAGUGUCGGGUUAAACCGGUACUGAAGUUAACACAUUAAGUACUCCGCCUGAGUAGUACGUACGCAAGUAUGAAACUUAAAGGAAUUGACGGGACUCCGCACAAGCGGUGGAUCAUGUUGUUUAAUUCGAAGAUACCCGAAAAACCUUACCAGGUCUUGACAUGUUUUUGCAAAAUGAUAGUAAUAUCGUGGAGGUUACCAGAAACACAGGUGGUGCAUGGUUGUCGUCAGCUCGUGUCGUGAGAUGUUAGGUUAAGUCCUAAAACGAGCGAAACCCUUAUCGUUAGUUGCCAGCACGUUAUGGUGGGGACUUUAACGAGACUGCCAAUGAUAAAUUGGAGGAAGGUGAGGAUCACGUCAAAUCAGCAUGCCCCUUAUGACCUGGGCUACAAACGUGAUACAAUGGCUGUUACAAAGGGUAGCUGAAACGCAAGUUCUUGGCCAAUCCCCAAAAACAGUCCCAGUCCGGAUUGAAGUCUGCAACUCGACUUCAUGAAGUUGGAAUCGCUAGUAA